rnacentral:rRNA from 2 species
GUUUGGUGGUCAUAGCGUAAGCAAAACACCCGGCUCCAUUCCGAACCCGGCCGUUAAGUGCUACUGCGCCAAUGGUACUGCGUCUCAAGACGUGGGAGAGUAGGUCACCGCCAAACC